rnacentral:rRNA from 1 species
UGCCAGCAGCCGCGGUAAUACGGAGUGUGCAAGCGUUACUCGGAAUCACUGGGCAUAAAGCGCACGUAGGCUGGUUGUUAAGUCGGUGGUGAAAGCCCUCAGCUCAACUGAGGAAUUGCCACCGAAACUGGUUGCCUUGAGGACAAGAGGGGAAAGUGGAACUUCUGGUGGAGCGGUGAAAUGCGUAGAUAUCAGAAGGAACACCGGUGGCGAAAGCGACUUUCUGGCUUGUCCCUGACGCUGAGGUGCGAAAGUGUGGGGAGCAAACAGGAUUAGAUA